rnacentral:rRNA from 1 species
GAUGAACGCUGGCGGCGUGCCUAAUACAUGCAAGUCGAGCGAACGGACGAGAAGCUUGCUUCUCUGAUGUUAGCGGCGGACGGGUGAGUAACACGUGGAUAACCUACCUAUAAGACUGGGAUAACUUCGGGAAACCGGAGCUAAUACCGGAUAAUAUUUUGAACCGCAUGGUUCAAAAGUGAAAGACGGUCUUGCUGUCACUUAUAGAUGGAUCCGCGCUGCAUUAGCUAGUUGGUAAGGUAACGGCUUACCAAGGCAACGAUGCAUAGCCGACCUGAGAGGGUGAUCGGCCACACUGGAACUGAGACACGGUCCAGACUCCUACGGGAGGCAGCAGUAGGGAAUCUUCCGCAAUGGGCGAAAGCCUGACGGAGCAACGCCGCGUGAGUGAUGAAGGUCUUCGGAUCGUAAAACUCUGUUAUUAGGGAAGAACAUAUGUGUAAGUAACUGUGCACAUCUUGACGGUACCUAAUCAGAAAGCCACGGCUAACUACGUGCCAGCAGCCGCGGUAAUACGUAGGUGGCAAGCGUUAUCCGGAAUUAUUGGGCGUAAAGCGCGCGUAGGCGGUUUUUUAAGUCUGAUGUGAAAGCCCACGGCUCAACCGUGGAGGGUCAUUGGAAACUGGAAAACUUGAGUGCAGAAGAGGAAAGUGGAAUUCCAUGUGUAGCGGUGAAAUGCGCAGAGAUAUGGAGGAACACCAGUGGCGAAGGCGACUUUCUGGUCUGUAACUGACGCUGAUGUGCGAAAGCGUGGGGAUCAAACAGGAUUAGAUACCCUGGUAGUCCACGCCGUAAACGAUGAGUGCUAAGUGUUAGGGGGUUUCCGCCCCUUAGUGCUGCAGCUAACGCAUUAAGCACUCCGCCUGGGGAGUACGACCGCAAGGUUGAAACUCAAAGGAAUUGACGGGGACCCGCACAAGCGGUGGAGCAUGUGGUUUAAUUCGAAGCAACGCGAAGAACCUUACCAAAUCUUGACAUCCUUUGACAACUCUAGAGAUAGAGCUUUCCCCUUCGGGGGACAAAGUGACAGGUGGUGCAUGGUUGUCGUCAGCUCGUGUCGUGAGAUGUUGGGUUAAGUCCCGCAACGAGCGCAACCCUUAAGCUUAGUUGCCAUCAUUAAGUUGGGCACUCUAAGUUGACUGCCGGUGACAAACCGGAGGAAGGUGGGGAUGACGUCAAAUCAUCAUGCCCCUUAUGGUUUGGGCUACACACGUGCUACAAUGGACAAUACAAAGGGCAGCGAAACCGUGAGGUCAAGCAAAUCCCAUAAAGUUGUUCUCAGUUCGGAUUGUAGUCUGCAACUCGACUACAUGAAGCUGGAAUCGCUAGUAAUCGUAGAUCAGCAUGCUACGGUGAAUACGUUCCCGGGUCU